GACGAACGCUGGCGGCGUGCUUAACACAUGCAAGUCGAACGGAAAGGCCCUGCUUUUGUGGGGUGCUCGAGUGGCGAACGGGUGAGUAACACGUGAGUAACCUGCCCUUGACUUUGGGAUAACUUCAGGAAACUGGGGCUAAUACCGGAUAGGAGCUCCUGCUGCAUGGUGGGGGUUGGAAAGUUUCGGCGGUUGGGGAUGGACUCGCGGCUUAUCAGCUUGUUGGUGGGGUAGUGGCUUACCAAGGCUUUGACGGGUAGCCGGCCUGAGAGGGUGACCGGCCACAUUGGGACUGAGAUACGGCCCAGACUCCUACGGGAGGCAGCAGUGGGGAAUAUUACACAGUGGGCGGAAGCCUGAUGCAGCAACGCCGCGUGCGGGAUGACGGCCUUCGGGUUGUAAACCGCUUUCGCCUGUGACGAAGCGUGAGUGACGGUAAUGGGUAAAGAAGCACCGGCUAACUACGUG
rnacentral:rRNA from 1 species